GUUGCUGCUGGGUGGGAUUAGGUGAAGCUGUUUGCUUUGGUAAGCGGAGCUCUCCCGGGAGCUGGGGCCAAACAAAGCCAUCGGCGUGGGGCUGGCGCACGCCGUGGUGCUUCCAGCCCUACAGCACAGCUCGGCCCCGUCCCGUGCCGGCCUCGGUUUCCCCAUCUGCGUAACGUGGAGGUGGACACCGCUGCCUUGUAAAGCAAGAGGGGAGCUGGAGCUUCCUCCCUCACCCUAUGGAAAACCCGGGGAAUUUGGUGAGAGUGGAGGAAGGUGCAGAGAAUCAGAGCAGUGGGGUCGGUGGUGAAGGCUGCAGGCACCUGAGAGGGGAGCCACAGGGACCUGCGGCCACCCAGCUGAGGAUGGAUGCUUCAACUGCGAGCACGGAGGGAAGAAAAGCAGAGGCAGCACGACACGUCUGGCACCCAGCAGGGGAGCAGGGUGCACCCGGGGCCGUGGCGAGCUCCUGCACCCAGCACCGACCAUGGGAACAGCCCCGGCGCAGCCACCCAGCGUGCGCUCGCCGUGACUCAUGUCCCCUGCUCGGCGAGGGGUCCUCCCGCACUGACCUCGCUCCGCUGGCUCCCACGCAGGGCAGAGAUGACUGAAUUACUGCUCCCCGCUGGGCUCUGCAAAUUCUCCUCUUGGCCGGGUGGCUUCCAGGCCGGAUACGUGGGGCUGGAUGGCUGAGUGCGCUCAGGUCACACAGUAGCUCCACAUUUUCCCCUGCGAAGGACCAAGCGCUUGCCCGGUUCCAAGGAAGCAGCUGUGGAAUUUUAUUUUAUUUUGUUUUUGUGCCCCUCUGCUCUUCCUUCUGACUCUUUUCGUGGUCUGGGGCUUUUCACGAGGAUGGUUGGACCCAGCCUGCAGCACCGAGUGCGGUCUCCCUGCAGAGGGAUGAAAGCCUCCGGAGGAGCCGCACGCCAGGACCGAGUUGGCAGCCUCAAUGCUGUGGGUUUGAAACUGUCCUGGAAGAUUGUCCCCUCGUGUCACCAGCAUUGCACGGCCGUGGGUCACCCAUGGGGGUGCCCUCCCGGUGCAGUGCAGGAGGCGCCGGCUACCCCCGGGGCUGAGCAUCCUCAUCCCCGCCACAUCCCCCAUGGGACGAGGAGGGGCUGGGGGGCACGGGGCCAAGCCGCAGCGAGGGGAAUGUCGAGAGAAAAAAAUGUCACCCCCUCCCCCCCCCAGAAACAAUUAAACGGCUUAAUAAAACCCU
rnacentral:lncRNA from 1 species